CCUACGGGAGGCAGCAGUGAGGAAUAUUGGUCAAUGGACGAGAGUCUGAACCAGCCAAGUAGCGUGAAGGAUGACUGCCCUAUGGGUUGUAAACUUCUUUUAUAAAGGAAUAAAACGAGGCACGUGUGCCUUUUUGCAUGUACUUUAUGAAUAAGGAUCGGCUAACUCCGUGCCAGCAGCCGCGGUAAUACGGAGGAUCCGAGCGUUAUCCGGAUUUAUUGGGUUUAAAGGGAGCGUAGAUGGGUUGUUAAGUCAGUUGUGAAAGUUUGCGGCUCAACCGUAAAAUUGCAGUUGAUACGGGCUGUCUUGAGUACCGUUGAGGUAAGCGGCAUUCGUGGUGUAGCGGUGAAAUGCUUAGAUAUCACGAAGAACCCCGAUUGCGAAGGCAGCUUACUAAACUGUGACUGACAUUGAUGCUCGAAAGUGUGGGUAUCAAACAGGAUUAGAUACCCGAGUAGUC
rnacentral:rRNA from 1 species